rnacentral:lncRNA from 1 species
AAACUCCCAACAUCAGGCCUCAGCCUCCCAAAGUGCUGGGAUUAAAGGUGUGAGCCACCGUGCCCAGCUCGAGAGGAUCUUUUUGUAUGUCUCAGUGUCACGGCUGCCUCUUAGAUGUUAAAGGCCCAAGGAGAAGGAAGCAGAUCAAGCUGUCCAGAGACAUAUCUGACCACCUCAGAUGACAGCAAGAGCCCCACCAAGGCAGGGAUGCUGGUUUGACCUCAAUUGACACCUUCUGGCUGGCUCAGUCCCCGAAGGCCAGGCUGACCUGGUGGGGAGGGGGACACAGGAAUGCCACAUGGGAGAGGCUGAUACCAACACCAAGGAUUAUUAGCCAACACCUGGGCAGGUCUGGUUGACCAAGGUAAGGUGAAGCCAGGGUUACACUGGCAAAUAUUUAACAAACUGGCUCUGUGGGGACAAGUGUGAUUGGCAGCGUUUGCCAAUUGCCAUGGUGUAAACCCUCCCACCAUGGCUGAAUUCAAGCUACCCAAACGAUGUCCCUGAAAGUGGAGUUGGGGAGAGAUGCUGACAAUCCACUCUCCCAGGUUGGUGUGAGCCGGCUAUGAUAUGAUAUACCGCCAGGUGGGGCCCAGGACAUUGUCUUAGGGAGCUCCUGCUCUGUAAGUCCUGAAAGACACAUGGAGAGAAGAGAAUAACAUUGAGGCCAGGCACGGUGGCUCACUCCUAUAAUCCCAGCACUUUGGGAGGCCGAGGCGGGUGGAUCACUUGAGGUCUAGAGUUCAAGACCAGCCUGGCCAACAUGGUAAAACCCUGUGUCUACUGAAAAUACAAAAAUUAGCCGGGUGUGGUGGUGCACACCUGUAAUCCCAGCACUUUGGGAGGCUGAGGCGGGUGGAUCACCUGAGGUCAGGAGUUUUAAACCAGACUGGCAAACAUGGUGAAACCCCAUCUCUAUUAAAAAUUACAAAAAUUAGCUGGGCAUGUUGGUGGGUACCUGUAAUCCUAGUUACUCGGGGGGCUGAGGCAGGAGAAUCGCUGGAACCCAGGAGGCAGAGGUUGCAGUGAGCUGAGAUCACACCAGUGCACUCCAGCCUGGGCAACAGAGCAAGACUCCGUCUCAAAAAAAAAGAAAAAUAGAAAAAAGAAAAAGAACGGUGUUGAGAAGGAGGUUGGAG